rnacentral:rRNA from 1 species
AGAGUUUGAUCAUGGCUCAGGAUAAACGCUGGCGGCGCACAUAAGACAUGCAAGUCGAACGAACCAAAUAUCUUGCUUGCAAGGUAAGAGGUUAGUGGCGGACUGGUGAGUAACACGUAAGAAAUCUGCCUAUCAGAGGGGAAUAACAGUGAGAAAUCAUUGCUAAUACCGCAUAUGCCAUAGUCAUCGCAUGAAGACAGUGGGAAAGGAGAAAUCCGCUGAUAGAUGAGCUUGCGGCUGAUUAGCUAGUUGGUGGGGUAAUGGCCUACCAAGGCGACGAUCAGUAGCCGGACUGAGAGGUUGAACGGCCACAUUGGGACUGAGAUACGGCCCAGACUCCUACGGGAGGCAGCAGUCGGGAAUAUUGCGCAAUGGAGGGAACUCUGACGCAGUGACGCCGCGUAUAGGAAGAAGGUUUUCGGAUUGUAAACUAUUGUUCAUGGGGAAGAAUAAUGACGGUACCCGUGAAGAAAGCUCCGGCUAACUACGUGCCAGCAGCCGCGGUAAUACGUAGGGAGCGAGCGUUAUCCGGAAUUAUUGGGUGUAAAGGGUGCGUAGACGGGAGAACAAGUUAGUUGUGAAAACCCUCGGCUCAACUGAGGACGUGCAACUAAAACUAUUCAUCUUGAGUGCAGGAGAGGAAAGUGGAAUUCCUAGUGUAGCGGUGAAAUGCGUAGAUAUUAGGAAGAACACCGGUGGCGAAGGCGACUUUCUGGACUGUAACUGACGUUGAGGCACGAAAGUGUGGGGAGCAAACAGGAUUAGAUACCCUGGUAGUCCACACUGUAAACGAUGGAUAC